rnacentral:rRNA from 1 species
UAGGGAAUCUUCCACAAUGGGCGCAAGCCUGAUGGAGCAACACCGCGUGAGUGAAGAAGGGUUUCGGCUCGUAAAGCUCUGUUGUUAAAGAAGAACACGUAUGAGAGUAACUGUUCAUACGUUGGCGGUAUUUAACCAGAAAGUCACGGCUAACUACGUGCCAGCAGCCGCGGUAAUACGUAGGUGGCAAGCGUUAUCCGGAUUUAUUGGGCGUAAAGAGAGUGCAGGCGGUUUUCUAAGUCUGAUGUGAAAGCCUUCGGCUUAACCGGAGAAGUGCAUCGGAAACUGGAUAACUUGAGUGCAGAAGAGGGUAGUGGAACUCCAUGUGUAGCGGUGGAAUGCGUAGAUAUAUGGAAGAACACCAGUGGCGAAGGCGGCUACCUGGUCUGCAACUGACGCUGAGACUCGAAAGCAUGGGUAGCGAACAGGAUUAGAUACCCUGGUAGUCCAUGCCGUAAACGAUGAGUGCUAGGUGUUGGAGGGUUUCCGCCCUUCAGUGCCGCAGCUAACGCAAUAAGCAUUCCGCCUGGGGAGUACGACCGCAAGGUUG